CGUCACGAAUGACAGGCAUAAAGUAAAUUAUCUUUUUCAGUCUGUGGUUGGAUUACUUAGUGGUAAAGUGGGAUCAAAGGGGCUAACAGGUGACUGGUCUCUCUUUUUUAGAGUAUGGCUCAGUCACGGCCGCCUCUGAUUCGUGAGUGAACUAACAUAUUUAUUUACGUUAUGAAAAAACCUAAAUCAGGGUGGCCAGAUGGAGUAAACUCCAUCCUCACGAGUAUACAGUGUAUUGGACGACUGUGCCAUGGGGGCCUACCCUUUGGAAGCAUAAGGUGAAAAUGUAAACACACAAAAUAAAAAGCAAUGCUUGACCACCUGCCUACACAAGCCUAACCAAUGAAGGGCAGCAGUGUAUCAAUAUUAGUUAAAGAACAGUUGUCCCUGGAAGCCAAGAUGAUAAAUAUUAAAAAAACAUUUAACUAUAGAAGGAAAGUUUGAAGCUGCUGCUAUCCAAUUUCCUAAUUUCAAGAUACUCUGCGGCCAUGUAACUUUUACUGUCUCAAUAAUAAACCUACCAGACAAAAUGCCUGCCUGGAUAAUGUCACUUCAAAUACAUGUAAAUGUGAGACUCAUUUGAAUAUCAUACUAUUUGAGCAUGAUGGCAUACUAAAACUGUGUGGAGUUGGAAAUAUUCACAAACAUGAGGCUGAAUCCAGGACAAUGAGACUACUGCAUGAUAUACAAAUAACAAAUAUCAGAUACUCUCUUCAGGGUACCGUUGGAGCUCCAUUCUCAACAGGUUAAGCUCAUGAAAAUUUCUUGCAUGCUAUAGUUGCCACCUUUAAUAUGCACUAUCCUACUUCAAGUAAAAAGAGCCCAUGUUCAAAGAAACACAGGAAAGGAUGCAUGACUAAUUGGUACACUCCUUAUUUGUAUAAACUAAAAAUACUGCUAAGUCAUAGUAUGAAAUGUCAU